ensembl:lncRNA
GGGGGCCCCCGAAGUAGCUGCUGGCCUGGCUCUGGGCUGGCACGCGGAGCACAUGCGUGACAGGGCGUGUCCAGGGGGGGUCGGGCCUGUCUGUGCCGGCCCGGCCUCUGACUCUCCGCAGACCCUUGCUCAGUGGAAAGAAACAACAGGGACGGAUGCUCCAAGGGUCCUCCGCGGGAGCCCCCGCAACCAACCCCUACCUGUUGCAAGUGAAGGGCUCACUGUGUGGACGUUAGGGGUUCCCUGGGAAUUCUGUGAUCUGUCUGAGGGUCAUCAGAGUUGAAGGCAGGGGCUGGAGUGUGGUGUGGCUGGGCACCGUGGGGGCUGAGAUGUGACUUGCACAGUUCCCCUAUUUAUAACAAGUGAUUCACUCCUCACUUACUCACCCCUUCCUGAGCCUUCCCCCCUCCCCUCAGCCCUGGGUGGGCAGUGGGGGUCCACCCACUUGCCAGUGGCCUGCCUUCCUUCAGCUGGGUGCCGACCUCCGAGGGCUGCCCCGUCGGUUGGGCUGGUGGUGAUGGUGGCCUCGUUGGGAUGGGGGUGACGGGUGAGGGGGCGGGUGGCCCUGGUGGUCAGGCGGCACUUGGCUGGAAGGCCCAGGUUAGCGGCUGGCUCAGGGCCUGGCCCAGGGAGCCUCUGCGGAGAGUCUGGGCCCAUUAGGCAAAGCGUUAGUGACAGGCUGGGAGGGCGGGGCCAGCGGCCCUUGGUAUUUUCCGAUCCCAGCUGCUCUGAG